rnacentral:sRNA from 1 species
GAACCUCCGGGGGCGGGGAGGUUCGACUCGAGCGAAGCGAGAGAACGUUGCGCCAGCAACGGCCCGCAGGGCGAGCCACGAAGUGGCGAGUAAUCCUCUAUCACCGACCA